rnacentral:rRNA from 1 species
UAACACGUGGGUAACCUGCCUUAUAGUGGGGGAUAGCCUUUCGAAAGGAAGAUUAAUACCGCAUAAGAUUGUAGUAUCGCAUGAUAUAGCGAUUAAAGGAGCAAUUCGCUAUAAGAUGGACCCGCGUCGCAUUAGCUAGUUGGUGAGGUAAUGGCUCACCAAGGCGACGAUGCGUAGCCGACCUGAGAGGGUGAUCGGCCACAUUGGGACUGAGACACGGCCCAGACUCCUACGGGAGGCAGCAUG